UACGGGGGGGGCAAGCGUUGUUCGGAAUUACUGGGCGUAAAGGGCGCGUAGGCGGCCUGUUAAGUCGAACGUGAAAUCCCCGGGCUCAACCCGGGAACUGCGUCCGAUACUGGCUGGCUUGAGUUUGGGAGAGGGACGCGGAAUUCCAGGUGUAGCGGUGAAAUGCGUAGAUAUCUGGAGGAACACCGGUGGCGAAGGCGGCGUCCUGGACCAACACUGACACUGAUGAGCGAAAGCCAGGGAGCAAACGGG
rnacentral:rRNA from 1 species